UACGAAGGGGGCUAGCGUUGUUCGGAAUCACUGGGCGUAAAGGGCGCGUAGGCGGCCUGAUAAGUAGGGGGUGAAAUCCUGCGGCUUAACCGCAGGGCUGCCUUCUAAACUGUCAGGCUAGAGCACAGUAGAGGCAGGUGGAAUUCCCGGUGUAGCGGUGGAAUGCGUAGAGAUCGGGAAGAACAUCAGUGGCGAAGGCGGCCUGGUGGGCUGUUGCUGACGCUGAGGCGCGACAGCGUGGGGAGCAAACAGG
rnacentral:rRNA from 1 species